rnacentral:snRNA from 1 species
AGGAUGUGAGGGCGAUCUGGCUGCGACAUCUGUCACCCCAUUGAUCGCCAGGGUUGAUUCGGCUGAUCUGGCUGGCUAGGCGGGUGUCCCCUUCCUCCCUCACCGCUCCAUGUGCGUCCCUCCCGAAGCUGCGCGCUCGGUCGAAGAGGACGACCAUCCCCGCUAGAGGAGCACCGGUCUUCGGUCAAGGGUAUACGAGUAGCUGCGCUCCCCUGCUAGAACCUCCAAACAAGCUCUCAAGGUCCAUUUGUAGGAGAACGUAGGGUAGUCAAGCUUCCAAGACUCCAGACACAUCCAAAUGAGGCGCUGCAUGUGGCAGUCUGCCUUUCUUU